rnacentral:rRNA from 1 species
GGGCCCGCACAAGCGGUGGAGCAUGUGGUUUAAUUCGACGCAACGCGAAGAACCUUACCUACACUUGACAUCCUCGGAACUUUCUAGAGAUAGAUUGGUGCCUUCGGGAACCGAGUGACAGGUGCUGCAUGGCUGUCGUCAGCUCGUGUCGUGAGAUGUUGGGUUAAGUCCCGUAACGAGCGCAACCCUUAUCCUUAUUUGCCAGCGGUUCGGCCGGGAACUUUAAGGAGACUGCCGAUGACAAAUCGGAGGAAGGUGGGGACGACGUCAAGUCAUCAUGGCCCUUACGUGUAGGGCUACACACGUGCUACAAUGGCCGGUACAAACGGUUGCGAACCCGCGAGGGAAGCUAAUCCGAGAAAGCCGGUCGUAGUCCGGAUUGGGGUCUGCAACUCGACCCCAUGAAGUCGGAAUCGCUAG